GAUGAACGCUAGCGGCAGGCCUAACACAUGCAAGUCGAGGGGUAACUAGAGUGAUAGCAAUAUUACUUUGGCUAGACCGGCGCACGGGUGCGUAACACGUAUGCAACCUACCUUAUACUGGGGAAUAACUUCGAGAAAUCGGCGCUAAUACCCCAUAACAUUGCGAAGAGGCAUCUCUUUGCAAUUAAAGCUCCGGCGGUAUAAGAUGGGCAUGCGUCCAAUUAGCUAGUUGGUGAGGAAACGGCUCACCAAGGCUACGAUUGGUAGGGGUUCUGAGAGGAUGAUCCCCCACACUGGUACUGAGACACGGACCAGACUCCUACGGGAGGCAGCAGUGAGGAAUAUUGCGCAAUGGACGAAAGUCUGAUGCAGCCAUGCCGCGUGCAGGAUGACGGCCCUAUGGGUUGUAAACUGCUUUUGUACGGGAAUAAACCCUUCUACGUGUAGGAGGCUGAAGGUACCGUAAGAAUAAGCACCGGCUAACUCCGUGCCAGCCGCCGCGGUAA
rnacentral:rRNA from 1 species